UAGUAACUGCGAGUGAAGCGGGAAAAGCUCAAAUUUAAAAUCUGAUAGUCCUUGUGGCUGUCCGAGUUGUAAUCUAGAGAAGUGCUUUCCGCGUUGGACCGUGUACAAGUCUCUUGGAACAGAGCAUCAUAGAGGGUGAGAAUCCCGUCUUUGACACGGACUACCAGUGCUUUUGUGAUGUGCUCUCAAAGAGUCGAGUUGUUUGGGAAUGCAGCUCAAAAUGGGUGGUAAAUUCCAUCUAAAGCUAAAUAUUGGCGAGAGACCGAUAGCGAACAAGUACCGUGAGGGAAAGAUGAAAAGAACUUUGGAAAGAGAGUUAAACAGUACGUGAAAUUGUUGAAAGGGAAACGCUUGAAGUCAGUCACGUUGGCUAGAAAAAUCAACCCUUCAUGGGUGUGGUGUAACUUUCUGGUUUUUACGGGUCAACAUCAAUUUUGACUGUUGGAUAAAAUUCAAUAUUUAUGCAUUUUCGGAUGUAUAGCCCUUUGAUUGCAUAUAACAGUUGGGAUUGAGGAACUCAGCAUGCUGAAAGGCCGGGUCAUUUUGACCACGUACAUGCUUU
rnacentral:rRNA from 1 species